rnacentral:lncRNA from 11 species
AAAGUGUAUGGCUGUGGUUGUGGCCUACCUUCAUACCCAGGGCUUGUUGGUCUUUACGUACAUUGAUGAUUGGCUCCUGGUGUCGCAAUCCCGCCUUCUCCUGCUUCAUGACAUUCAUUUCACUCUCUUAACUCUUUCAGGACCUGGGGCUGAUGGUGAAGUGUACCAAGUCCAACCUCCAGCCCACCAGUCUCCUCUGAGUGCUUCUGGAUUCCACUGCAGGGAGGGCGUACCUUUCCGAUGACCUCUAUGCGACACUGCGGGCAGCACUGGUUCAUGUGAGGCACCAUCCUUGGGUCCAGGCCAGGCAGGUCCAGUCCCAGCUGGACUACAUGGCUUCGAUCACAGGAGUUACGCCCCUGCCAAGGCUAAGGAUGCGGCUGCUGCAGUCAUGGUUUCUGCAGGCCUUCGACCCACGGCGUGGCAGUCCUUCCAUCAUGCUCUCUCCCUGGUUGGUAUGGGGUGCACACAAGGAGCGCCACUUGGUACGGGGUCGUUGAGACUGGUACUCGGCUCUCACAAAGCCACUGUUCGAGCCAUUGUCAACAGCAGACUUGUCCCAUUGUGGAAACAGCCUUUCUUGUGGUGAUGACAAAGCAGAGAGCUAGCGAGCUUUGUGCCCUGUGGGUGGACAAUCUGUACAUGCACUUUCACAGUGAUAAGGUGGUGAUGUGUAUGGACAUCGUGUUCCUCCCAAAGGUGGCCUCCCUUUUUCAUGCUACUCAGGACAUUGUGCUCCCGGUGUUCUUCCAGAACCCGUCCACCCUGCUUGAACAAUCCUUGCAUAUGUUGGAUGUCCGGAGAGCACUGGCCUACGUAGACCAGAACAAGGAGUAUAGGAAGCCCCUGUGACUCUUCCUACAGUACCGCCCGGACACCAGGGGGCUCCUGGUGUCUCUGUAAAAGCUCUCUGCAUGGGUUGUCAUGGCUAUAAGGCUGGCUUACCAGAGUGCUGGGGAGGAGGGCCUACACAGGUGGUCGCUGCCUCCACGGCCUUCUGCUACAAUGUCCCCUUGGAGCUGUUACCUGGGCUACGCUGUUGACCUUUGUUACACAUUACAAGGUGUACCUUCUGUUAAACCACCAGGUGGCCUUUGGGAGAGCUGUCCUGUUUUCUAUGGUGUCAUGACGCCCACCGUCCAUGAUGGCCUGAAAUGGAAAGCCUCCCCCCACCCCUGGAAGAAGUUGUAA